CGCGAAUGGCUCAUUACAACAGCUAAAAUUUACUUGUGCUUGACCAUCCUACUUGUAUAAGUGGGGGAAUUCUAGAGCAAAUACUUGAAGCACAGCUCUGACCUUGUAGAAGGGAAGAUUGUUUUAUUAUUUGCUAACGAAGCGGCUUCGGACGGCUUUUGUUGACUCGCUAUAACUAAACUGAUCGCAUGGUCUUGUACCGGGGACGUGUCUUUCAAGUAUCUGCCUUAUCAACUUUCGAUGGUAGUGAAUCUGACUACCAUGGUUGUGACGGGUAACGGAGGAUAAGGGUCCGACUCCGGAGAAGGGGCCUGGGAAAUGGCCACUACGUCUAAGGAUGGCAGCAGGCGCGCAAAUUACCCACUCUCAGAACGAGGAGGUAGUGACUAAAAUAACGAGGACUUUCUCUAUGAGGCCGUGCAUCGGAAUGGGUACAAUCUAUACCCUCUAUCGAGUAUCUAUGAGAGGGCAAGUCUGGGGCCAGCAGUCGCGGCAAUUCCAGCU
rnacentral:rRNA from 1 species